rnacentral:rRNA from 1 species
ACGGGAGGCAGCAGUGAGGAAUAUUGGUCAAUGGGCGGAAGCCUGAACCAGCCAAGUCGCGUGAAGGAUGAAGGUAUUAUGUAUUGUAAACUUCUUUAGACGUAGAGAAAUAAGGCGCUCGUGAGCGCUGAUGCUAGUAUACGUAGAAUAAGGAUCGGCUAACUCCGUGCCAGCAGCCGCGGUAAUACGGAAGGUCCGGGCGUUAUCCGGAUUUAUUGGGUUUAAAGGGAGCGUAGGCGGCCUUUUAAGCGCGUUGUGAAAUGUCCCGGCUCAACCGUGGCACUGCAGCGCGAACUGGAGGGCUUGAGUGCGCAGGAAGUAGGCGGAAUUCGUCGUGUAGCGGUGAAAUGCUUAGAUAUGACAAAGAACUCCGAUUGCGAAGGCAGCUUACUGUAGCGCCACUGACGCUAAAGCUCGAAAGUGCGGGUAUCGAACAGGAUUAGAUACCCUGGUA